CUGGGAAAUCCCAUGGACAGAGCCUGGCGGGCUACAGUCCAUGGGGUGGUACAGAGUCGGACACAACUGAAGUAACUUAGCAGGCAUGAAGCCAAGAAGAAUCUGUACAAACCUGAUGAAAAGAACCCUUAUCCUCUCUUUGCUUCCUCAUAAUUUCAGUUACUUUCCCACAAUCACUCUUUGUUCAACAAAAUAUAUAAGCACUUAGGCUUAAUCACUUUGGUGGUUUUCCUGCAAAGGCUGCUAUGCAUGUGUAAAAAUAGAAUUUGUAUGCUUUACUUCUGUCGAUCUGUUUUGUGGCCGCUUAAGUCUUGUGCACAGCCAGAGACUCGAAGAGAACAGAGGGAAGGUUUGCUUCCCUACACCAUGCAGCCUGGGCUGAGCCACCACUCCACAAGUCAAGGAGGCUUCUCCCUGAAACACUGCAUCCAGUCUGGCCCUCUGAGGAUCUUUGUACACACAGCAGGCAGAAGGACAUACAGAAAUCUCUCAUCUUGCAAAUGAUGCAAAAUCUUAUGGAACUUUAGAAGGAAAGAAUGUAGAAUCAGUCCUGGAUUGAUUAUGGAAAGAAGACAGUUCUGUUUAUCAGUACCACACAGGAAUUUCCAGUAUUAGCAAUAUUCCUGGCAGUGUAUCCACGUGAGUCCAUGUUUAAAGAGUGGGGUGACUAUGAAGAUUCACCCUGAGUUAGAUCUCUGCCCUUCAAUGAAGUUCUCCACAGUUAUUCCUUCAUCCAAUGAAAACAGGGACUUAUUAGAACUAAAAGAUGACUCUUUUGCCUUCCAAAUUCAGCAAUCGGUUCAGUCGAGUUCAACAGAGUAGCUCAGUCGUGUCGGACUCUUUGCAACCCCAUGACUGCAGCACUCCAGGCCUCCCUGUCCGUUACCAACUCCCGGAGUUUACCCAAACUCAUGUCCAUUGAGUUGGUGAUGUCAUCCAACCA